rnacentral:rRNA from 1 species
GAUGAACGCUGGCGGCGUGCUUAACACAUGCAAGUCGAACGGAAAGGCCCAAGCUUGCUUGGGUACUCGAGUGGCGAACGGGUGAGUAACACGUGGGUGAUCUGCCCUGCACUUCGGGAUAAGCCUGGGAAACUGGGUCUAAUACCGGAUAGGACCACAUUUUGGAUGGUGUGGUGGAAAGUUUUUCGGUGUGGGAUGAGCUCGCGGCCUAUCAGCUUGUUGGGGGGGUAAUGGCCUACCAAGGCGUCGACGGGUAGCCGGCCUGAGAGGGUGUACGGCCACAUUGGGACUGAGAUACGGCCCAGACUCCUACGGGAGGCAGCAGUGGGGAAUAUUGCACAAUGGUCGCAAGCCUGAUGCAGCGACGCCGCGUGGGGGAUGACGGCCUUCGGGUUGUAAACUCCUUUCGCUAGGGACGAAGCGCAAGUGACGGUACCUGGAGAAGAAGCACCGGCUAACUACGUG